AGAAUCAACGCUGGCGGCGUGCCUAACACAUGCAAGUCGAACGAGAAAGUGGAGCAAUCCAUGAGUAAAGUGGCGCACGGGUGAGUAACACGUGACUAACCUACCCUUGAGUGGGGGAUAACCUAGAGAAAUCUGGGCUAAUACCGCAUAAUACCUUCGGGUCAAAGGAGCAAUUCGCUUAAGGAGGGGGUCGCGGCCGAUUAGUUAGUUGGCGGGGUAAUGGCCCACCAAGACUAUGAUCGGUAUCCGGCCUGAGAGGGCGCACGGACACACUGGAACUGAAACACGGUCCAGACUCCUACGGGAGGCAGCAGUGGGGAAUUUUGCGCAAUGGGGGAAACCCUGACGCAGCAACGCCGCGUGGAGGAUGAAGUCCCUUGGGACGUAAACUCCUUUCGAUCGGGACGAUUAUGACGGUACGGAAGAAGAAGCCCCGGCUAACUUCGCGCCAGCAGCCGC
rnacentral:rRNA from 1 species